GAACGCUAGCUACAGGCUUAACACAUGCAAGUCGAGGGGCAGACACAAGGCAGCAAUGCUGAGGUGGCGACCGGCGCACAGGUGCGUAACGCGUAUGCGACCUACCUAUAACAGGGGGAUAACCCAGAGAAAUUUGGACUAAUACCCCAUAUUAUUAUUGAGCUGCAUGGUUUGAUAAUGAAAGACUUUGGUUGGUUAUAGAUGGGCAUGCGUGACAUUAGCUAGUUGGUAAGGUAACGGCUUACCAAGGCGACGAUGUCUAGGGGAACUGAGAGGUUAAUCCCCCACACUGGUACUGAGACACGGACCAGACUCCUACGGGAGGCAGCAGUGAGGAAUAUUGGUCAAUGGGUCGGAAGACUGAACCAGCCAUGCCGCGUGAAGGAAGAAUGUCCUAUGGAUUGUAAACUUCUUUUGUAAGGGAGCAAUAAGUUCCAUGCGUGGGAUGAUGAGAGUACCUUACGAAUAAGCAUCGGCUAACUCCGUG
rnacentral:rRNA from 1 species